UUUUCCUACGGGGGGCAGCAGUAGGGAAUCUUCCACAAUGGACGAAAGUCUGAUGGAGCAACGCCGCGUGAGUGAAGAAGGGUUUCGGCUCGUAAAUCUCUGUUGGUAGUGAAGAAAGAUAGAGGUAGUAACUGGCCUUUAUUUUACGGUAAUUACUUAGAAAGUCACGGCUAACUACGUGCCAGCGGCCGCGGUAAUACGUAGGUGGCAAGCGUUGGCCGGAUUUAUUGGGCGUAAAGCCAGU
rnacentral:rRNA from 1 species